GGAGGCCAGGAGAUGAUGGAAGUGACAGAUGCGGAUGGCCUUUGCUUUCCAAGGCCCCAUGGACGAUCCUCACCGGCCACUGAGCUCUUCCGGGAGCCUGAACUUGCAGGAGGCAGUCAGGGUGCCAAGUCUAUUUGCAGGCCCCCUGACAUCUGUGAGGUUCAGCAAAGUCCUGCCUCCCUGUGGAAUGGAGCCCAUCUCCAUGAUAAGCAUCCACUUCCUUGUGUCCUGCCUGGGUGUCCACUAUGUUGGCUCUUCUCCUGGGAGCUGGAUGGGAAGACGCAGGACCUGCGGUGGGUCUAACUCACUGAGAUGCAAGAAGUAUGACCACAUGGAACGCCGUGACACAGUGAGGCCAGCUGCACCCCCAGGGGAUGAAGAGGAGCGCAGAGGGCCUGAGAGUCCUGGGGUUGGCCUUCCUGAGAAGUGGCAACCCCCAGAAAAUGGGGCCUUGUGUCCGUGCAUAAGCAACUCUCUAACCAUUCCCAUGAGCUGUCCUUGUGGGGUAAGUACCCAUGUAGAGGAUCAUAGCCUUCUGGAAGGAAUGAUAUCAAGGAGCAUCCUGGGUCUGAUGAUGUGCCAUUUUAGGCAG